rnacentral:tRNA from 1 species
CCCAUAGCUCAGUCGGUAGAGCGACGGACUGUUAAUCCGCAGGUCCCUGGUUCGAGCCCAGGUGGG